rnacentral:tRNA from 1 species
GGGCCGGUCGUCUAGCCUGGUCAGGAUAUCUGAGUUGGGCCUGAAGCUGCCCUUACAAGGCAGAGGUCGCCGGUCCGAGUCCGGCCCGGCCCACCA